GACGAACGCUGGCGGCGUGCUUAACACAUGCAAGUCGAACGAUGAAGCCCAGCUUGCUGGGUGGAUUAGUGGCGAACGGGUGAGUAACACGUGGGUGAUCUGCCCUGCACUCUGGGAUAAGCCUGGGAAACUGGGUCUAAUACCGGAUACGACCUUCUGCUGCAUGGCAGGGGGUGGAAAGUUUUUACGGUGCAGGAUGAGCCCGCGGCCUAUCAGCUUGUUGGUGGGGUAAUGGCCUACCAAGGCGACGACGGGUAGCCGGCCUGAGAGGGCGACCGGCCACACUGGGACUGAGACACGGCCCAGACUCCUACGGGAGGCAGCAGUGGGGAAUAUUGCACAAUGGGCGAAAGCCUGAUGCAGCGACGCCGCGUGAGGGAUGACGGCCUUCGGGUUGUAAACCUCUUUCAGCAGGGACGAAGCGCAAGUGACGGUACCUGCAGAAGAAGCACCGGCCAACUAC
rnacentral:rRNA from 1 species